UCUGUUUUCUGGUUUCUCAUUUCCUCCUUCUAUUCAUGAUUUGCAUUCUGCUGACCCCUUUAAUCCAUGUUUUAAAUGAUUUCUAUCAAACUAUCUCACCUUGGUAUUAUAAUAUUAAUAUGCUUUGUUUUUUUUCAACUUGGCAGUCUUGUUCAAAAAUGCACAUCAUUUGUAUUCAGGUAGGACUUUAUUUGCAUGAAGAAGUUCAAGCACAGCAGCUCCUCUAUUUUCCCUGGAACGUUUUUCACAUUUGAAACAUGUAACUAUUCCAGAUCAGCUUUUCCAUAGCUCAUGUCCUCUGUGGUCAAGUGUAUUCCACUGCCUGGUUCUGUAGUGAUGAUCAGCUGCCAGGGAGAUUACAAGAGACAUUUGUGGCUCAGAAAAUUACCAGUGUCACCUCAGUGUCCAGUUGGAAUGGUGACUCUCUGAGUCUCAACGAGAACCACGUGUCCCUGCAGGGAGCCCCUGGGAGAAACCAGAACUGCUCAUCACCGCUGCACCCGGUGGACAAUCUAUCCAGGUUCUCCUCUCCUGCUGGGCUCCACAGCAUCCCUUUGGGCUGCUCCAGACCCCACCACAGCCUGCCAGAGCCUCUGGAAAGCUGCUUCCCGGGUAGGCACUCGGUGAUCUGGCUCUAAAAGUUCCCUUAACGGUGAAUGUGUGGGAAUGCUGCCUGUCCAUGCUACCUUUAAAUAACUGGGUGCAUGCAGUUUGGGUGUUUAGUAAAAAAUAUUGGUACUUCUGGCAAUUUUUCAAAUUUAUUAGGAGAAGUAAUGGCUCCAUUUAUAAUGGCAAUGCAACACAGUAUGUGACUGUAUUGGAGGGACUAAACCUUCAUCCUGAUAAAUUAUACAAUUAUGCUUUGAAAUGCAUUUACUUGUUUUGAAACAUUAUUUCUCUAUGGUUUUCAAAAAAAAUAUUUUCUGCUUCUGAAAAUAAACAAGUUACUGGUAACAGGGUUCAUUUUUUAUAAAAUUGUUUUGUUUCUAUUCAAACAGAAUGUA